UAGACGAUGAGGUUGAUAGGUUCGGUGUGGAAGUGCAGUAAUGCAUGGAGCUGACGAAUACUAAUCGGUCGAGGACUUAUCCACA
rnacentral:rRNA from 1 species